CGGGCGAUGAGCUGAAAGCGCGCGUACAUAAGAAAAACAAAGAAAGAUUAUUAAAAAAUACUCAUAAAUCGAUAUAUGCUUGAGUAAGAAUAUUAAAUGUGUAUAACUAAUCGCUUAAUCCUUUAACUCAAAACUUCAUACUAAUUUGCGCAAACGGGGAGAAAACCACUAACCAAACUCAAACUCAACUAGAAGGCAGCGAGCGAAUUCAGUGAAACUCAAGGCAAACACAAAAAACUGAAACACGGAGUUAGCGAUUCGAGCAUUUUUUUCAAGUUUUUAUUUUUAUUUUUCAAUCUUUUUCUUGCAACUACUCAAUGCACUGAACAUUUUUAGCUGUUGUUGUAAGAAAAAAAGCUUUUAA